UUACCUACCCUUAGCACAAUAUGCAGGAUGUCUCUGAUGCCAGACCUUACCCAUCCAAGGUUACUACUGCCCAGUGUGUGGUGGUGUUUGGAGGUGGGGUCUCUGGAAGGUGAUACGUUCCUGAGAGCAGAGCCACUCUGAGUAUAUUAGUACCUAAUAAACACAACUCAGGAGAGCUGAAGCUAGCUGUCCACGGCCAGAGACUAGGGGCGCACCAGAUCAGUGUCUGUAAACUUGAUCUUGAGACUUCUAGGUUUCAGAAGGUAAGGAAUGACUUUCUGAUGUUUGUAAGUUGCCUGCUCUAUAGUAUGGUGUUAUAGCUGCCCACCUGGUAUUUCAAUCCAAAAUAAAACAGCUGUCCAUCUCUAUUUGUACAGAUGUGAGGGGUAGAUAGCCUGCAUGACAGUCACGAGCAUCUUACUCGGCAUCCUGUGAUGAAUUUAUUUUUUCAUAUUCAAGAAGUCCUAGGUUCACCUAGGACACAAGUCUCUGGGCUUGCUUGUGAGAGAGAGAUCAUCUCGUUCGGGAUGGCCCCUGAGCAAGUCCGUGAAGCAUUCUUGAAAUUGAGUUGACCGAAGUGAGAAGCUCCGCCCCGAAUGUGGGCGGCACCGCUCGUGUCCCGGAUCCCAGAUGGCCUACACAGAAGAGCUGAGACAGAGCAUUGGUAGCUCUCUGCUUCUCUGCAGAUACAGCGCGACCACACGGCCUUUGGUUUCCUCGCUACCAUGAAGCGCUUCUCUCAGAACUGUGAACAUAAUUACAUCCUCUCUUUCCCUGAGCUGCUCUGGUCAGGGAGUUUUAUCACAGUAACGGGACAAGAAAAUAUAAGGUUGCUAGUCUACUUUGACUAAUUUGAUGAAAACGGAAAUUUACUAGAAGGAUAUGCAAGGGCUCAGAACCCUCAGAGAAAAGUAAAGAAUCAGGCCCAGGAAAAAACAAACAAACAACAACAACAACAACAAAAACCACCCAAGAUCCCUAGAAGGCCUGUAUCACCAGAAGUGUCACAGUCUCUGGUGUUACUACUGGAAUAAGUGAACACUCUUUAGUCUCUGAGUGGCCCGGUGAGAUCAGGUUCCAGGGUGGCGCCCCUUUAGGUGAGUCCUACAGUUUGGUCUGCAGUGUAGCAGGGGUGAGCAGGGCCUCUCCGUUACCAGCCAAGCCAGAAUGGAACCGAGUGACAAGCAAUUGCCCCGAAGGAAAAUAUUCCUGUCGCUGCCAAAAGAUACCGAGCAGAUAGAGGACUGCCAAAAAUCACAACAAAAAUUUCCACUAAACACCCCG